rnacentral:rRNA from 1 species
GUGAAGCAGGAGCUUGCUCUUGUGGAUCAGUGGCGAACGGGUGAGUAACACGUGAGCAACCUGCCCCAGACUCUGGGAUAAGCGCUGGAAACGGCGUCUAAUACUGGAUAUGAACCGCGGAGGCAUCUUCGGCGGUUGGAAAGAAUUUCGGUCUGGGAUGGGCUCGCGGCCUAUCAGCUUGUUGGUGAGGUAAUGGCUCACCAAGGCGUCGACGGGUAGCCGGCCUGAGAGGGUGACCGGCCACACUGGGACUGAGACACGGCCCAGACUCCUACGGGAGGCAGCAGUGGGGAAUAUUGCACAAUGGGCGAAAGCCUGAUGCAGCAACGCCGCGUGAGGGAUGACGGCCUUCGGGUUGUAAACCUCUUUUAGCAGGGAAGAAGCGAGAGUGACGGUACCUGCAGAAAAAGCGCCGGCUAACUACGUGCCAGCAGCCGCGGUAAUACGUAGGGCGCAAGCGUUAUCCGGAAUUAUUGGGCGUAAAGAGCUCGUAGGCGGUCUGUCGCGUCUGCUGUGAAACCCCGAGGCUCAACCUCGGGCCUGCAGUGGGUACGGGCAGACUAGAGUGCGGUAGGGGAGAUUGGAAUUCCUGGUGUAGCGGUGGAAUGCGCAGAUAUCAGGAGGAACACCGAUGGCGAAGGCAGAUCUCUGGGCCGUAACUGACGCUGAG